AACCCAUUCUCACUCCAAAGGCGUCAAAAACCGAAGCAUGGUCAAGCGCCCCUAGCGUCACUUUUAUGACGCCAAAUGUGCCUCUCGGCGUCGACUAUCGAAGCACUACGACCUUCAUUGCUUUCAGUGGGAAACUUUUGGCGUCAGAAUUCGACACGAGGACAUGAGAUGUUUAUCGCUAUGAAAUCACGUUCAAGAAGUCUCAUUCAGCACACAUCGCGCGAUACUUGCUAUCAUUUCCACAGUUUGGCUGAAAAGACGUAAAGGCAGUCAGCCCAGUGGUGUUUCUGGAGAGGGAUUCCUUCAGAAAUGGAGAAGACAGAAAGCUGCGGAGGCAGAUAUUUGCAGCAUGUUCGAGUGAGCAUGAUGACCACGAGUGUGUGUCGAACUUUUCAUGACCUGAUGACUGUGUUUCCCAAUCCUGAUCCUGGAGAACCCCAGCACUGCACGGUUUUGGCGUCUCUCUUAUCUGCCUUGGAGUCUUCACUGAUGAGCUGAUGAGUUGAAUCAGGAUUGUUUGAGGAUAACACUGCAGUUCUCCAUCAUGCACAAGGACUCACCUCGUUAACUCUUUAUCCCCCACACACACAGAUAUGGUCCCUGGAUCAGUGAUUAGACUUUGCAGUGGUUUGAUUUUUGCAGAAGAUGUAACUUUGUUUUAUUUAUAAGCUCAUAAUGAAUACAUUACAGAACCAGUGAUGAAAACAAUAGUUAAAAAUAGUAUUUUUCGUAUUGAUAAAGCAUUUUGUUCUCUUUUUCAAGCUUCAUACAGUGAACUUUUUAGACUUUAAUUAAGAGUUUUAGUAAAGGAGAUAUUCAUACACAGUCAUCCCCUAGCUCCAGUCAUGAAGUGAAUUCAUGAUGUUAUGUCAAAGCUAGCAGGUGUUUGUUUUCCUGAACACUUUCUCUGUCUUCCAUUGUUCAGACAAUCAGUGUUUAUUUGAUGCUGUGCUGAUUGAGUUUUAUAGAUGAUAUUGCACACUUGACAUGCAUGUCUUCAUGGUGUUUUUUUGUGAGUUUGAAACAUUUACAUUGUGUUGUAUAACAUUUUGGUCAAUUUAAUUUUUUUAAUAAAAUUGAUCUUUUUCCAGUGUUCUCUGAAAGACAUACUGUAUUUACUGUUUUGUUUUUUAAUAAAAUCAUUUUCAUUUGCAUACUGAAAAUAGUUAAUGUUUACAACAUAACUGCCUUUUUAUUCUUUAUGGUGGCAAAAACGAGCUUGGUGACAGAGGAUGCAGUGUAGUAAUUUGGGCAUGUUGUCUUUAAAUGAGUUUGACAUAUCAAUAAAU